GGUGGAUCAUGUUGUUUAAUUCGAUGAUACGCGAAGAACCUUACCAGGUCUUGACAUCCCCUGCAAAGCUAUGGAGACAUAGUGGAGGUUAUCAGGGAGACAGGUGGUGCAUGGUUGUCGUCAGCUCGUGUCGUGAGAUGUUGGGUUAAGUCCCGCAACGAGCGCAACCCUUAUUGCUAGUUACCAUCAUUGAGUUGGGGACUCUAGCGAGACUGCCAGUGAUAAACUGGAGGAAGGUGGGGAUGACGUCAAAUCAUCAUGCCCCUUAUGACCUGGGCUACAAACGUGAUACAAUGGCUGAAACAAAGGGCAGCGAAGCAGUGAUGUGGAGCGAAACCCAAAAAAGCAGUCUCAGUUCGGAUUGAAGUCUGCAACUCGACUUCAUGAAGUCGGAAUCGCUAGUAAUCGUGGAUCAGCAUGCCACGGUGAAUACGUUCCCGGGCCUU
rnacentral:rRNA from 1 species